GAACAAAUUUAAAACACUCCGUUCAGCAAGAGGAACAAGGAACCUCACGAGAACCUUGUAGGUUGAAGAAUAUGAAACGAGAGCUUAACGGAUCAAAAGGAAUAUGAACGCACACCGGUAGAAAAGAGAGACAAGGAACACCAUGUGAACCUUGAGGUUAAAUGACACGAUAGAUAUUUAAACCACUCCGGUUAAAACAAGAUAGGGAAGGAAUAAGAAUGAUAUAAUUUGGGCAGCACUCCACCUGUAAAUGGAAGGAAUUGAACAUGAUCUUGACAAGAUUAGAGGAUACUCGAUGAAAUUAACAACACACUGUCUCCGUAGCUAAAGAAAGAAUGGCACAAGGGGUAAGAAAGAUUUCAGAUAGCACUCCGGUUGAGAAAGGAGACAAAACUUGACAGAAUGGGAAGAAUUUGAAAAGAGGGCACGACACUCCGAUUGAGAAUGGAUAAGCACGAAAAAAACACGGUCCUCACAAACCGAGAAGAUGAGUGGAGAGAGAAACAUCACAAUGCCUUUGGAACGAACGAAUAGAAGAUAGAUCGUCGGAAUAAGAUAACGGAGAAGGAAAUGACAACUUCUGCCACAAAUGAGCUUGGAAAGCAUCCUUCCAAGAAGGUUAUAACGGAGUUGAUGGAAAAAACCAACAACAAAAGGAUAUGAUCCUCGUGGGCUUAUGGAGACAUCUCAAAACAUGAGGUGAAAAUUUUGCCACUAACGAAAACAAUUGCUUGUUUCAGAUCAACGAAGAGAUGAAAUCUUCUCUCGCCGAGAGGAUAGGAGAAAACUUGGAUCAUUGAUAAACACCACAAAUAGCUGCAUUCCUUAGGGAAGGCUAUAAGUGAAAUAUAACCCAAUACAACUCCAACAAAAAGAUUGAUUGGAUGAAAAGAUCUCUUGAACAAAGAUAAAAUGAUGGAUUUAGUAAUCUCAUUCCUGACACCUUGUGAAUCAUGAAACAUGAAGGAAAUUGUCAAAAAUGACAUUAAUCCAUCCCAAAAGAUAAGGUAGAGAGAAUUGCACUUCGGAAUGCAAGAUGAAGAAUGCUUGAACUCCUCAAAACAAAACAUGUGUAGAACACCAUGUUUAUCUUUGAGUAUAGCUUGGCGGAUCAUAACUUCGAGAGAAUUCUUGAAGAACAAAUGAAGAAUGAAAGGAAUCCUUGAUGAGCCACCGUGUUGAUCCUCCAUGAAGAUCUCCGAUAAUAAAAGAAUGAUCAAACGAAAGGGAAAGUUGAAAAGAACUCCGGGAGAAGCCUUGCAAUGAUUAGAUGAAGCUUUGAAAUGAUAUAAUUGAAAUAACUUGGAGCUCCGGAAAGAAAGAAUUAAUCACUUGGAGGAAACAAGAAUAAGAAUUACAUUAUGCUUAGCCUUCACCAAUUUAAAUUGAUGACAAGCAACAGAUCUUGCAUACUACUUAUUUUCGUAGAAAGGAUUAAGAUAGAUAUAGCGCAAACUUGGGAAGGCCUUCAUCGAACCACCGGUAGGAUUGAAACAACGAAUAAAUUGAUAUGAUAACAAAGGAAGAGAAAUCCUGAACGAACCAUCGCGAGAAUUGAAAAUGAAAGUAGCAAAGGCACAAUUCAACGGAAAGAAUUAGAAAAUGAAUGAAGAUACUUGACAGAAUUUAGAUACACGAGAACGAAGAGAUCAUGAACUGAUUAGAGGAUAUUUGAGUGAUGCACCGGUAUGAUUUGGAGACCGAGAGCUGAAAGCUUGAAUGAAUAAUUCUGAGAUGAUGGGCUCCGAAGAAUCAAACUGAAAAGACUCCUGAAAUGCUCCGGAUGGGUAAGAAAAGAAUUCUCACAAUUGGAAACAAUUUGAGAGGAUGGCAACAAGUUAGAACCAUGAAUCUUCAAGAGAACGGACCAAGAUUCAAGAGAAUUUCUUCUUCGGUCCUCAAAUGUGGAGAAUGAUGAUGAGAAACACCAUCAAGAAUUAUUGAGGCACUCCGGAAUGAAAAUUAGAAAGGUUGAACCAAUGAUGGAAAGAAUUUGAAAUCGAUAGUGGAGAAGGCACUUGACUGAUGAUAAUUCAUUCUUACGUCAAACUUCGACAAGAAUUUUGGAAGCUCCGGGAAAAUUAGAAGAGUCAGGUAAGAUCCUGGAAAAAAAACCCUGUGGGUUAAGGCCCACUCAAAAGAAACACCGUUGAAAUGAUUACUUGAAAAGGAGAUUGCACCGGUUGAAUUAAAUGGGUUGAAUGAGGUAACAACCUCGAAAUAGUUAGAAUUGAUGCGGAGUGGAAACACGAAACUUCAGAGAUAUCUUCAGCACUCCGGAACAAUUGAAUAUCAAGCGGGGAAUGAUUAAGAGAUAUACCGGCAUGAGAAAGCAUUUGAAAGGAGGAAAGGGCUAUAAUCAACACUGUAGCUUGAAUUGGAUCCACCGGAGAAGAAACAACAACGAAGGAUGAUGAACUUGAAACUGUUGAGCAUCUUCAUGGGGAAUCACCUGAUAAGAACAUUGAUUGAAAAGAAUGAAGGGACUUCACAUGAAUAAAAUGGAUACUUGAUUAAGAAAUCUGAGUCCAUGAAGAAAAAAGGGUGGGAGGGUGGGAAAACAAAGACAACUUGGCUCGGAUGAAACGAACACCGUUGAGAAAAGCUUAGAAUUGAUCUUGCGAACGUUUGAAUGACUGGAUGCACUUGAAGAGAAACAUGCCGGUUGGAAAAAAAUUAACAUGACGAUCUCGAUGAUCAAGAAGGAUUAGUAUUCACAAAGCAAUAUGAGAACACCGUUUAGGAAAGUUAUGGAAUCAACACUUGACAAUGAAGCAACUCGAAUACCACAAUUAAAACAAAACAAAGGAUUUGGCUUGCAGAAUAAGCCGGAACAAACAUAUGAUAGAGAUUUCGUCCGAAGUUUUCGUGGUGGGGCCCACACAGGCUCAAUCGUAGAGCACCAUCAUGUACAAGGCUGUGCACAUGACAUACGAAGCGUCCCCGAGUCGGCAUAGCCAAGGACUCUUUAAGACACUACGAGACCACUGUAAAACCAACCGUGUACAGGCGGACCACUAGACGUCGAACCCCAAUCUCAUAUCAUGCAUCUGUCGGAAAGAUAUCCUAAGAGCUACUUGAAUUCCCACUUAUAAACUCCCGAAACUUUCUGGUUAUGCAAUCAGGUGUUGGGGAUACAGGGGACACAAAAUAUAUCACCCAAACUAACAAUACCUAGAUCCAGUUGUAUCCAUCCGUCAACACAUAACCAAGAAAACUCCGGAAAUCGUUUACCUCAACCUUCGAAAAGCAUCCGUUAUACGAGUUAUGGCAAUACUCCCGAACUCCCGCCCCAGUACUGGGUGGCGUCGAGGUGAUCUCACCAACAACUGCAUAAAAGAGAUUUCGAUGUCGGUGAAACUCAGGUAUUUCAGAACUGCAACGAUAAAAUUGUGACGACAACACCUCGAAGCUCAACUCCCCGGGACACUGCCACAACCCCUGAAUGUCAGGAGGCACCAAGAACAAUGUUCUCGUCACAAAACCAUCAGAACGAUUCCAAGAUACCCGCGUGAUCCUAAAUUUUUUUUAGUGAAAUUUGAGGAGAGAAGAGUCAAAACUUCUACGUCAGGAGACCUCACCAGAGCGACGAAGGGACUGAGGAGUAAAAAGAAUCCUACUCUCCGAUAUAUAUAAUCCUAAGACUCAAAACAUUUUUGUUCUAGACUCAACAACGUCAGCGAUUCGAUAAAGCAGGGGGCUCCUAAGUCGGGGAUGGCUCUGAUUACCAACUUGUAACGCCCACGAUGCGGCUAUAUCUCCCACGUGUCGAGGCACGACUUAGAGGCAUAACCGCAUUGUGGUUUUGUCGCAAGAAGGGUCAUCUUCACACAAUCCCAUGUACGGAAUAAGAAUGGGAUAAAGAGUUGGCUUACAAUCGCCACUUCACACAAUACAUGAAUAAAACAUACAUCAUUCAGAGAUACACACAUAGGUCCGAGUACGGAACCAAAAUAAAAGAAGACAACCCAAAUGCUAGAUCCCUGAUCGUCCCCAACUGGGCACCACUACUGAUCAACAUGAAAAGAAGCAACACAACGGACAAGAUCUUCAUCAAGCUCCCACUUGAGCUCGGUUGCGUCACCUGCACUGGUAUCAUCGGCACCUGCAACUGUUUUGGAAGUAUCUGUGAGUCACGAGGACUCAGCAAUCUCACACCCGCGAGAUCAAGACUAUUUAAGCUUAAGGGUAGGAAAGGGGAAGGUGGUGAGGUUGCAGCAGCGACUAAGCAUAUAUGGUGGCUAGCAUACGCAAAUAAGAGCGAGAAGAGGAGCAACGGAACGGUCGUCAACUAGCAAUGAUCAAGAAGUGAUCCUGAACUCCUACUUACGUCAAACAUAACCCAGAAACCGUGUUCACUUCCCGGACUCCGCCGAGAAGAGACCAUCACGGCUACACACGCGGUUGAUGCGUUUUAAUUAAGGUCAAGUGUCAUGUUCUCUACAACCGGAUAUUAACAAAUUCCCAUCUGCCACAUAACCGCGGGCACGGCUUUCGAAAGAUAAUACCCUGCAGGGGUGUCCCAACUUAGCCCAUCAUAAGCUCUCAUGGUCAACAAAGGAUAAACCUUCUCCCGGAAAGACCUGAUCAGUCUUGGAAUCCCUGUUUACAAGACAUUUCGACAAUGGUAAAACAAGACCAGCAAAGCCGCCCGCUGUGCCGACAAAUCCCGAUAGGAGCUGCACAUAUCUCGUUCUCAGGGCACACCGGAUGAGCCAGACGUCGGGCUGGCAUACACCCUGGUUGCCCAGGGGGCGCCGGACAUCGCUCGGGUUGGACCAGCACUCGAAGGAGAACUGGCCCGGGGGGGGGGUGGGGUAAAUAAAGAUGACCCUUGAGUCUGCAGAACCCAAGGGAAAAAGGCUUAGGUAGGCGAAUGAUAAAACCAAGGUUGGGCCUUGCUGGAGGAGUUUUGUUCAAAGCGAACUGUCGAGGGGGUCCCAUAAAUCACCCGACCGCGUAAGGAACGCAAAAUCAAGGAACAUAACACCGGUAUGACGGAAACUAGGGCGGCAAGAGUGGAACAAAACACCAGGCAUAAGGCCGAGCCUUCCACCCUUUACCAAGUAUAUAGAUGCAUUAAUUAAAUAAGAGAUAUUGUGAUAUCCCAACAUAAACAUAAUCCAACAUGGAGCAAUCUUCAUCUUCACCUGCAACUAGCAACGCUAUAAGAAGGGGCUGAGCAAAGCAGUAACAUAGCCAAACAACGGUUUGCUAGGAAGGGUGAAAAGGUUAGGGGCUGACAUGGCAGUAUGGGAGGCAUGAUAUAGCAAGUGGUAGGUAGCGCAGCAUAGCAAUAGAGCGAACAACUAGCAAGCAAAGAUAGAAGUGAUUUCGAGGGUAUGGUCAUCUUGCCUGAGAUCCCGCUAGGAAGAAGAACGAGUCCAUGAAGAAGACAAACGGACGUAGUCGAACGAAUCCUCACAACUCCGGAACGAAACCGAAGCUAACGAGAGAAGCAAACCGGAAAGAAACAAACAACAUAGUAAACAACCACCACAUACACAUGGCAUGAUGCAAAAACAAAUAUGAUGCAUGUCCGGUUUAAUGAGGCAUGGCAUGGCAAAGUGCAACAAACAACACAACAAAUUAAGUGGAGCUCAAUAUGCAACGAGUUGCAUAUUGAAGAAACACCACAUUUAAUAAUUUAGUUCUCUCUCGUUAUGUACUCGACCAUAUUAAAUGUUGAUUACCAUGGCAAGAGGUGAGACAUAAGUAAACUACACAUUUUUAGGCAAUUUAAAUGAGGCCGGAAUGACAAACAACAAUUCCCGGAAAAUCCUCAUGUCCAUAAUUUAGAUUUGGUACUGUUCUGCCAUAAACACAAUUUUAAUGUUGUUAAACAGCAAAAUGAAGUGCACCAAGUUAAACUAGGCAUUUUUCUACCCCAUUUACAUAUAUGAUUUAUUAAAAUCCGAGCUCCGGUUAUUUAGUUAUGAAAUAAAUCAUUUUAACAUAUUAUUCAAGCAAAAUUAAACAAACAGCAGGUUUAAACAUUUUUAACAUGGUUGAAAGUGGCCAAUUAUGAAACUAGAUGAAAUUCUAAGCAUUUUACAUGUUUGAAUUAUUUUAAUCCGAUGCCCGGUUAAAGAGUUAUUAUAUGCAUGAAGUUCAAGGUUUUUUUUGUAAACUAUAAACUCCUGGAUAAUGCUAAAAUCGCAGCGCAGGAAAAAAAAUAACACGGGCCGCAUCUUGCUGGUCCGAUAGUGUACAGGAGGGGGUACUGGAGGGGCUUCUCAACCAUGGGCUUGGCCCGGUGAGGCAGAGGCGAACUGGGCCGGAUCUGGAGAAGGCAAGGGGAGGCUGCUGGCCCAGGCGCGGAGGCCACGCGCGACUGCGGUCAACGGGGUGAGCGGGCGAGCUGUUCGCUUCUGAAGAACAGAAGCAGUAGCAGGCGGGACGAGGCGUUGGCUCAGGCGAGCGAAGCAGAGGCGCUAGACUUGACGGGCGGCGCAGAUGGUCUCCGGCGAGGGCACCGGUGGCCGGGGACGGGGCCCAGGCGGCGGGAUCCGGCCAGAACGGGCAAGGGCGGCGGAGGUGGCUCCUGCAAAAGAACGGCGGCGCAACAUAAAUCAGAUAGAGGGCGAGAGAAGUGGAGGAAGGAGAAGAAGGGAACGGGCCUUGCUGGAGAGGAGGUCGGCGACGCGAUGCAGGAGGCCGCUUGGUCUGGUGAGGCAGAGGAGUCGAGGAGAAACUUGGGAAGGCUCGUCUCCUUCUGGAACGAGAGGAUGCAGGGGGAGGCCCGCCGGCGGCUUGACUCGGAUGACGCGGGGCUCUUCCGCCACGGGCUCCUGUGGGAGAGAGAGCGAGAGGGAACAGAGAGAUGUGAGGCACGGGAAGAAGAAGGGAGGAAUAGAAAGGGCAGGGUCACGGGGGCGGCCUGGUCCACGGGUCGCCGACGACGAGGUCGCGAGGUGGAGGAGCUCUCGGGUGCUGCUGCUUGCGAUGAGGUCGAGGAGGAGGCAGGGCGAGGUGGUGGAUGGGUUGGAUUGUUGGCUGGAUCGGGUGGAUCGAGGGGAUGCCUCGAGCGCUGGUUGGGUGAGAAGGGGAUCUGGGAGGAUCCCGAGGAAGACGAGACAGGAGGAGUGGCGGCGGUGGCUGGACAGGGGAGGAUCCCUAGAAAAUAGGUUUGGUUCAAAUGGACUAGGGGUAGACUAUAUAUGUAUGGGAAAAGAGGGGAGUUUGGAUCAUCUGAUCAAAAUCCGACGGAUGAGAAUAAAUAGGUAGGGAAGUCCAAAUAACAAAAUGGAGAUGUUUUGUAGAUGUUAGGGGAUGAUCCGGACCCAACGAUAACAACAAACCGGGUCGGGUACGGGACAACUUUCAGACGCGUAGGAGGGGACUAUGCACUGCGCAAGGAGGGGUUAGACGGUCACGGUCAAGAGGGAAGCGAAAAAUACGAUAGGUCUGAAACGGUCAACGCAGGCAAGGCGAUCCGAGGGAAGGUGAUGAAGGCAAAGGGAGAAACGUCAACGACGAGCGAAUGCAAGUUUUAAAACAUGACGACAACGAAGUGCCGAUGCAAUGCAAAUGAUGCGAUGAUGAAUGCAACACACAAAUAAAACACACGACGGUCACGCAAAACAUGGCAGGCGUCUGGAGCGUCGGUCUGGGGGCGUCACAACACUCCACCACUACAAGAGGAUCUCGUCCCGAGAUCUAGGAUGGCACCAGAGAUAAACGGAAGAGGAAGAGGUAAAACAAAUUGCUUCUUUGACAAACGAGUGAAACCAAAGAACCUUGAGAGGUCGCAAAGCUUGAAGAAAUGACACGACAGAGGUGAACAAAAUUUAAAACACUCCAUUCAGCAAGAGGAACAAGGAACCUCACGAGAACCUUGUAGGUUGAAGAAUAUGAAACGAGAGCUUAACGGAUCAAAAGGAAUAUGAACGCACACCGGUAGAAAAGAGAGACAAGGAACACCAUGUGAACCUUGAGGUUAAAUGACACGAUAGAUAUUUAAACCACUCCGGUUAAAACAAGAUAGGGAAGGAAUAAGAAUGAUAUAAUUUGGGCAGCACUCCACCUGUAAAUGGAAGGAAUUGAACAUGAUCUUGACAAGAUUAGAGGAUACUCGAUGAAAUUAACAACACACUGUCUCCGUAGCUAAAGAAAGAAUGGCACAAGGGGUAAGAAAGAUUUCAGAUAGCACUCCGGUUGAGAAAGGAGACAAAACUUGACAGAAUGGGAAGAAUUUGAAAAGAGGGCACGACACUCCGAGUGAGAAUGGAUAAGCACGAAAAAA
rnacentral:lncRNA from 1 species